AGAGUUUGAUCCUGGCUCAGGAUGAACGCUAGCUACAGGCUUAACACAUGCAAGUCGAGGGGAAACGACACCGAAAGCUUGCUUUUGAUGGGCGUCGACCGGCGCACGGGUGAGUAACGCGUAUCCAACCUGCCCACCACUUGGGGAUAACCUUGCGAAAGUAAGACUAAUACCCAAUGAUAUCUCUAGAAGACAUCUGAAAGAGAUUAAAGAUUUAUCGGUGAUGGAUGGGGAUGCGUCUGAUUAGCUUGUUGGCGGGGUAACGGCCACAAGGCGACGAUCAGUAGGGGUCUGAGAGGAAGGUCCCCCANAUUGGAACUGAGACACGGUCCAAACGUCCUACGGGAGGCA
rnacentral:rRNA from 1 species